rnacentral:misc_RNA from 1 species
GAGCGUGAACCUUUUAUACUAGUACACUAUAAUUAGUAUAUAGCGCCCUAGUUAUUACAGGUUCUUAUAGGCGUGAGCUCAACGCCAUGUUUUUAUUUUUUAUUUUAGUUCUUGCCGGGGCCGGCCAAGUGAUUUCUUUAACGAGCAAUCUAGAUCAACUUAGUCGAUUUGAUUCAAUCGAAUUAGGUAUCUCUCCAGAGGAGCUCGAAAAUUUAGAAUUGUCAGAAAUUGAUCCAAGCCUUUAUUUAAAUCAACAAAAUGACGACGACAAGUCCAUCGUUAGUAACAUUGUUACUAAUGCCAUCGUCGCCUUCUUUGCGCGGGAACGGCGCAAUCUUUCAAAAAGAUCCAAUUUCCCAACACUUGUGGCCACCAACAUCAGCGAGCAAUGUUUAAACGACAGCAUCGCUUACCACCAAGCCUACCUUCUUCGAGUCGACUGGGCCAAGCAAAUGUAUGAAUCGACGGGGAAAUUCCCAGAAGCGCUUUAUUACAGUGGUAACUUUCACGGGCUAGGACUUUUCGACGAAUGUCUAGCCGUCCAGGCCGAUUGGACCAACACAUCCUUCCAGGGCAAGUACUGCACGGUGUUCUUUGAUUCGGACCUGGUAAUGCCAGAAGAGUUGGAAGAGGAGAAUCCCGUAACAGGAGACGAAAUGCAGCGGACAAAUUGGGUGGGAAUCAUACAGGUGUUGGAAUGGCUCUACAACGGUCCGAAAUUGAAAGAGCCCAAAGUGAGAGACACCGAUCUUAACUCAAGAUACCUGGCAGCCCUUGAUUAUUGCAUCCCUUCUUCCUGCACCGCUAAAGACUUCCGCUUGUCCAUUGCGCAACUGAUCGGAAGUAGGGCGAUAGAUAACACGACUUACAACGACACCAAUUACUACACUUCCAUGGUGGCCGUCAACGACGAUAAUUAUUGCUACACCGCCGAGCAGAUCAAAGCCACUCCGAAUUUUGACGGACCCGACAUAGCUGUGAUUGUUACAUUAAGCAUCCUUGGCUUGGUGAUUCUUUGUGCUACACUACACGAUGUGUGGUUCAGUUAUUACCAAAUUCAACCCGAUCAGCCGAAAAAAGUUGGACUGCCUGUGAAAGCCCUGCGGUGUUUCUCCAUGCUAACCAACGGCAAGAAAUUGCUGUCAACCAAAUCAGCUGCUGUUGACAAUCUGUCCUGUUUGAACGGAAUGCGAGUGUUGUCCACUACCUGGAUCGUUCUUUACCAUACGUACUAUUUAGCUAUUAUCAGUCCCAUGUACAAUCCUUUAGGAUUCUUAAAGGAUGCGUUAGAGUGGCAGUUGCACGGCGUUCUCAACGGCACAAUUGCAGUUGACACAUUUUUCUUGAUGAGCGGCCUGCUCGUCACUUAUUCCUUGAUGCGUGAACUGGACCGGAAUAAAGGCCGAUUCAAUGUCGCCCUCUUUUAUCUCCAUCGCUUCCUUAGAUUGACCCCAGUUUACGCCGUGAUAUUGGGUUUCAUAGCCACACUGUUGGCUUAUCUGGGAUCAGGACCCAAUUGGCAAAAUGUCCGGGACUUGAGUGUGGCCUGCCGUUGGAACUGGUGGAAUAAUCUUCUCUACGUCAAUAAUUACGUCCGUACUUUUGAUUUGGAGUGUAUGGGUGAAACCUGGUAUUUAGCAUGUGAUAUGCAAAUGUUUAUACUGAGUCCGCUAUUCAUCUAUCCUCUUUGGCGAUGGAGAAAAAUUGGUUUGAGCUGGGCCAUCUUCAACAUAUUGGGGCUCAUUGCUGGAACUAUCGCCAUCUUCAUUGUCUGGGAUCUUCCAGCUAUGGGUUUCUUUACAAGACCGAAUGACACAAGCAAUCCGUAUUAUUACUACGGCUAUUAUGUCCAAACAUGGACCCGUUUCCCGCCUUACAUACUCGGAAUUCUACUCGGUUGGAUUCUUCACAAAACUAAAAAUUCCAGAAUCAAGAUGAACAAGGGAGUUGUUGCAGCUGGUUGGUUCUUUGCGACGUUAAUCGGCUUAGCCGUCGUUUAUGGCAUGGUCCCCUAUUUGAACGAGCUCGAGAUACCAGAGAUGAACGACGUCGCUCGCGUUUCUUACGGAUCGCUCCAUCGAUUUGCAUGGGCGACUGUUGUCGCUUGGAUUGUAUUUGCCUGUAUCCAUGGUUACGGAGGUUUCAUCAACCGAUUUCUGUCAUGGAAGGCUUUUAUUCCAUUAGCCCGUCUAACCUACGUCGUCUAUUUGGUUCAUUUAAAUUACCUAACGGUCUAUCACGCUUACAUCCGAAAGCCGUAUUACUACACCAAGUUCACUCACGUUGAGCACUACUUUGGAGUCCUGUUGAUGGUCUUUUUCAUGGCAUUCGCCAUCUCCCUUACCGUGGAAGUUCCGCUGUUAAAUUUGGAGAAGCUGCUCGUCAGUCCCACCAAGACAAGAAAACCUGAGAUGGAUGAAAAUAAGCAAACAAUUCCAAGAGUAGGACUCAAUAUGAAUGCAAUUCCUACCUACAAGACAGAACAAUUCUAAACGACCAAAGGACCUCGGAUUUUCUGCACGAUGGAUUUCAAAUAGUCCUUCUAAAAUUUAUUGCGAUUGAUUGGAUUGUUACAGAAUGAUAAAUUAUACGACGUGGAAAAAAGGCGCUGAAUUUCUCUCAUUUUAUCCCGACAAAAUAGUGGCAUUACUUUCUCUAUUCACAGAUGAAUGGUAGGAACUGGCCGCAGUCAAUGUCGUCCCAUUUGUAUUUGUUGGUGGGUACGGAACGAGCGCACGCAGUCCUUGGCAACAUGGUCAUAUCGGGCUGACCCGUCUCCCAGUUAACGUAACCGAAAUUUUCACGAGUGGCCGCCCACGCCCAAGUGUUUUUAGAAGGGCAGUAAACAUUUGCAGCCAACGUCUCCAAGCAAAAAGUUCCCGAUGUCCAAAAUCCGAUUGUCGUAAAAAGGUAAAUAAGUUUCGAAUUCGGCUUGUUUUUCCGCCGUUUUGAAGCUAAUGAGAGACCGACCGUUGGCCUUACAGAAAUCAAAGGCAUCCACCCACGGUUUCUAUAGAAUAAAAUACAUAGUUUAAUAA